GAUGAAGAACGUAGUGAAAUGCGAUACGUAAUGUGAAUUGCAGAAUUCAGUGAAUCAUCGAAUCUUUGAACGCAUAUUGCGCUCUCUGGUAUUCCGGAGAGCAUGCUUGUUUGAGUAUCAGUAAACACCUCAACUCCCUUUCUUCUUGAAAUGGAGCUGGACUUGAGUGAUCCCAACGCUUUAUUCAUAAAGUGGCGGGUUACUUGAAAUGCAGGUGCAGCUGGACUUUUCUCUGAGCUAUAAGCAUAUCUAUUUAGUCUGCCUCAAAACAGAUUAUUACCUUUGCUGCAGCUAACAUAAAGGAGAUUAGUUCUUGUGCUGACUGAUGCAGGAUUCACAAAGACCGCUUCGGCUGUCUUUGUAAACUCGAUCUCAAAUCAAGUAAGACUACCCGCUGAACUUAAGCAUAUCAAUAAGCGGAGGA
rnacentral:misc_RNA from 1 species